rnacentral:rRNA from 1 species
UACGGGGGGGGGCAAGCGUUGUUCGGAAUUACUGGGCGUAAAGGGCUCGUAGGUGGCCAACUAAGUCAGACGUGAAAUCCCCUCGGCUUAACCGGGGGAACUGCGUCUGAUACUGGAUGGCUUGAGUUCGGGAGAGGGAUGCGGAAUUCCAGGUGUAGCGGUGAAAUGCGUAGAUAUCUGGAGGAACACCGGUGGCGAAGGCGGCAUCCUGGACCGACACUGACACUGAGGAGCGAAAGCCAGGGGGAGCAAACGGG